AUCCAGUCAACGAGUCCCAAAUAGGAUGAAGCGCGCGUCCUGGAU
rfam:Schistosoma margrebowiei strain Zambia genome assembly, scaffold: SMRZ_scaffold0002593